GACGAACGCUGGCGGCGUGCUUAACACAUGCAAGUCGAACGGAAAGGCCUUUUCGGAGGUACUCGAGUGGCGCACGGGUGAGUAACACGUGGGUGAUCUGCCCUGCACUCUGGGAUAAGCCUGGGAAACUGGGUCUAAUACCGGAUAGGACCGCACUUUAGUGUGUGUGGUGGAAAGUUUUUUCGGUGUAGGAUGAGCCCGCGGCCUAUCAGCUUGUUGGUGGGGUAAUGGCCUACCAAGGCGGCGACGGGUAGCCGGACUGAGAGGUUGGUCGGCCACAUUGGGACUGAGAUACGGCCCAGACUCCUACGGGAGGCAGCAGUGGGGAAUAUUGCACAAUGGGCGCAAGCCUGAUGCAGCGACGCCGCGUGGGGGAUGACGGCCUUCGGGUUGUAAACGCCUUUCGCCAGGGACGAAGCGUUUUGUGACGGUACCUGGAGAAGAAGCACCGGCUAACCACGUG
rnacentral:rRNA from 1 species